rfam:Schistosoma margrebowiei strain Zambia genome assembly, scaffold: SMRZ_scaffold0000472
AUCCAGCUGACGAGCCCCAAAUGAAACGAAACAUGCGUCCUAGAU